rnacentral:rRNA from 1 species
GACGAACGCUGGCGGCGUGCUUAACACAUGCAAGUCGAACGGAAAGGCCCUGCUUUUGUGGGGUGCUCGAGUGGCGAACGGGUGAGUAACACGUGAGUAACCUGCCCUUGACUUUGGGAUAACUUCAGGAAACUGGGGCUAAUACCGGAUAGGAGCUCCUGCUGCAUGGUGGGGGUUGGAAAGUUUCGGCGGUUGGGGAUGGACUCGCGGCUUAUCAGCUUGUUGGUGGGGUAGUGGCUUACCAAGGCUUUGACGGGUAGCCGGCCUGAGAGGGUGACCGGCCACAUUGGGACUGAGAUACGGUCCAGACUCCUACGGGAGGAAGCAGUGGGGAAUAUUGCACAAUGGGCGGAAGCCUGAUGCAGCAACGCCGCGUGCGGGAUGACGGCCUUCGGGUUGUAAACCGCUUUCGCCUGUGACGAAGCGUGAGUGACGGUAAUGGGUAAAGAAGCACCGGCUAACUACGUG